rnacentral:rRNA from 1 species
UACAUGGGGUGCAAACGUUGCUCGGAAUCAUUGGGCGUAAAGCGCGCGUAGGCGGUUGCUUAUGUCGGAUGUGAAAGCCCUCGGCUUAACUGAGGAAGUGCAUCCGAAACUGGGCAGCUAGAGUACGAAAGAGGGUCGCGGAAUUCCCGGUGUAGAGGUGAAAUUCGUAGAUAUCGGGAGGAACACCGGUGGCGAAGGCGGCGAGCUGGUCCAUUACUGACGCUGAGGAGCGAGAGCGUGGGGAGCAAACAGG